AGCCUUGCCCCACCCUUUCAGGGUUCCCAAAUCUGGCCAGUCUUUCUGCCCUUUCCCUUGCGGGUCGCACCCCGCCCAGGCCCCUCUCCCGCCCCAGGUCUCUCAGUCUUUUUUCUCAGGGCGUGUAGCUUCCUGCACACCCGGAAGCAGAUCGCGCGGGGAAAAGAUCACAGCGCUGCGCGUCAGUUUCCGUCUACCUGGACUAAACAUUUGCUUCGCCCCGUCUGCCUGAAUCGAACGUGCACUUGGCAGUCUUCCCUUGUCCAUACCCGUUUCCUGGGGAUCGCUACGGACCUUAAAAUACCAGCAACAGCCCCUUCGCCCCAAGGUCUUGCUCUGUCAGACUAGAGUACAGUGCCAUGAUCUCCGCUCACUGCAGCCUCAACCUCCUGGGCUCAAGCAGUCUUUCUGCCUCAGAGUGCUGGGAUUACAGACGGGAGCCACCACGCCAGGCCUACGAGAUUUGACUUGUAAAGAAUUAAUUAUAUUGACUGAGAGAGAAGCCCAGAAGAGGAAGAAGAGGAAAGAAAAGGAGUCAGGGAUGGCUCUUACACAGGGACCUUUGACAUUCAGGGAUGUAGCCAUAGAAUUCUCUCAGGAGGAGUGGAAAUCCCUGGACCCUGUGCAGAAAGCUUUGUACUGGGAUGUGAUGUUGGAGAACUACAGGAACCUGGUCUUCCUGGGUAUCCUUCCUAAAUGUAUGACCAAGGAAUUACCACCAAUAGGGAACAGUAAUACAGGAGAAAAAUGCCAAACAGUGACGCUGGAAAGACAUGAAUGUUAUGAUGUUGAAAAUUUUUACUUAAGGGAAAUCCAGAAAAAUCUACAGGACCUUGAGUUUCAAUGGAAAGAUGGUGAAAUAAAUUAUAAAGAAGUGCCAAUGACCUAUAAAAACAAUCUUAAUGGUAAAAGAGGUCAACAUAGUCAAGAGGAUGUAGAAAACAAAUGUAUUGAAAAUCAGCUUACAUUAAGCUUUCAGUCACGUCUGACUGAACUGCAGAAAUUUCAAACUGAAGGGAAAAUUUAUGAGUGUAACCAAUCUGAGAAGACAGUUAAUAACAGUUCCCUAGUUUCACCACUUCAAAGAAUUCUUCCUAGUGUCCAAACCAACAUUUCUAAAAAAUAUGAGAAUGAGUUUUUGCAGCUGUCAUUACCCACCCAACUUGAGAAAACACACAUUAGGGAAAAACCUUAUAUGUGUAAAGGGUGUGGCAAAGCCUUUAGAGUGUCUUCAAGUCUUAUUAACCAUCAGAUGGUACAUACUACAGAGAAACCUUACAAAUGCAAUGAAUGUGGCAAAGCCUUUCAUCGGGGCUCACUACUAACUAUACAUCAGAUAGUCCAUACAAGGGGGAAGCCAUAUCAAUGUGGUGUAUGUGGCAAGAUCUUCAGACAAAAUUCAGAUCUUGUAAAUCACCGGAGAAGUCACACUGGAGAGAAACCGUACAAAUGUAAUGAAUGUGGCAAGUCCUUUAGUCAAAGUUAUAACCUUGCAAUACAUCAGAGAAUUCACACUGGAGAGAAACCUUACAAAUGUAAUGAGUGUGGGAAAACCUUCAAACAAGGCUCAUGCCUCACUACACAUCAGAUAAUCCAUACAGGAGAGAAACCAUAUCAAUGUGAUAUAUGUGGCAAGGUCUUCAGGCAGAAUUCUAAUCUUGUAAAUCACCAGAGAAUCCACACUGGAGAGAAACCAUACAAAUGCAACAUAUGUGGAAAGUCCUUUAGUCAAAGUUCCAACCUGGCAACUCAUCAGACAGUUCAUAGUGGAAACAAACCUUACAAAUGUGAUGAGUGUGGCAAAACCUUUAAACGGAGCUCCAGCCUCACUACACAUCAGAUAAUCCAUACAGGAGAGAAACCAUAUACAUGUGAUGUAUGCGACAAGGUCUUCAGUCAACGUUCACAACUUGCAAGGCACCAGAGAAGUCAUACUGGAGAGAAACCUUACAAAUGCAAUGAAUGUGGCAAGGUCUUCAGUCAGACUUCACAUCUUGUGGGGCAUCGGAGAAUUCAUACUGGAGAGAAACCUUACAAAUGUGAUAAAUGUGGUAAAGCCUUUAAACAGGGCUCAUUACUCACUCGACAUAAGAUAAUUCAUACCAGAGAGAAACGUUACCAAUGCGGUGAAUGUGGAAAGGUCUUUAGUGAAAAUUCAUGCCUUGUAAGACAUUUAAGAAUUCAUACUGGGGAGCAACCUUACAAAUGUAAUGUGUGUGGCAAGGUCUUCAAUUACAGUGGAAACCUUUCAAUUCAUAAGAGAAUACAUACGGGAGAGAAACCUUUCCAAUGUAAUGAAUGUGGCACAGUCUUCAGGAACUACUCAUGCCUAGCACGUCAUCUAAGAAUUCAUACUGGGCAGAAACCUUACAAAUGUAAUGUGUGUGGCAAGGUCUUCAAUGACAGUGGAAACCUUUCAAAUCAUAAGAGAAUUCAUACUGGAGAGAAGCCGUUUCAAUGUAACGAAUGCGGCAAGGUUUUCAGUUACUACUCAUGCCUAGCACGUCAUCGGAAAAUUCAUACCGGAGAGAAACCUUACAAAUGUAAUGAUUGUGGCAAAGCCUAUACUCAGCGUUCAAGCCUCACUAAACAUCUGAUAAUUCAUACUGGAGAGAAACCUUACAAUUGUAAUGAGUUUGGAGGGGCAUUUAUCCAAAGUUCAAAACUUGCAAGAUAUCACAGAAAUCCUACUGGGGAGAAACCACACAAAUGUAGCCAUUGUGGUAGAACUUUUAGUCAUAUAACAGGCCUGACGUACCAUCAGAGAAGGCAUACUGGAGAGAUGCCAUACAAAUGUAUUGAAUGUGGCCAGGUCUUUAAUUCCACUUCGAACCUUGCAAGGCAUCGGAGAAUUCACACUGGAGAGAAACCUUACAAAUGUAAUGAAUGUGGCAAGGUCUUUCGUCAUCAAUCAACACUAGCACGUCAUCGGAGUAUUCAUACUGGAGAGAAACCUUACGUGUGUAAUGAGUGUGGCAAAGCCUUUAGAGUGCGUUCAAUUCUGGUUAAUCAUCAGAAAAUGCAUACUGGGGACAAACCUUACAAAUGUAAUGAAUGUGGUAAAGCUUUUAUUGAAAGGUCAAAGCUGGUGUACCAUCAAAGAAAUCACACUGGAGAGAAGCCAUACAAAUGUAUUGAAUGUGGCAAGGCCUUUGGGCGGUUUUCUUGCCUCAACAAACACCAAAUGAUUCAUUCUGGAGAAAAACCUUAUAAAUGUAAUGAGUGUGGCAAAUCUUUCAUUAGUCGCUCAGGCCUCACUAAACAUCAGACAAAACAUACUGCAGAGAGUCUUAAAACAAAAUUCAAUGUGGAAAAGCCUUUAGAUGUUCUCCUAACUUCUGGGUUCAAAUAAUUCAUACUUAUUGAUAUAGCUUGUAUAUUUGUCACUUCCGUCUGAAAUCUCAUGUGGAAUUUUAAUCCCCUUUAUUGGAGGUGGGGCCCAUUGGGAGGUGAUUGAAUCAUGGAAGUGGAUUUCUCAAACUGAGAAAGAUGUAGCGUCAUCCCCUUGGUGCUGUCCUGGCAAUAGUGACUUCUCUUGAGGUCUGGCUGUUUAGAAGUGCAUAGCACUUCCCUGUCGCUUGCCCUCAUUCUCACCAUGUGAAAUACCGACACCCGCUUUGCCUUCCACCAUGAUUUUAACCUUCCUGAGGCUUCCCUAGAGGGUGAUCAGAUGCCAGCACCAUGUUUUCAUUUAAGCCUUCAGAAAUAUGAGCCAAUUAAACUCUUUUCUUUAUACAUUAGCCAGCCUCAGGUUUUUUUUUGUAGCAAUGCAGUUAUGACCUAAUACAUUUACACAUGCAGUAAAUAUACCUAAGUUUUAAGCUAGUAUUCACUACUCACUAGGUGUAAGAAUUUGUAUAUAUAUUCCAGGAUGUAUACAUCCUGGAGAAAAAUCACAGAAGUGUAAUACGUGUGGCAAGAAUUCUACUCAAAAGCCAGAACUUGUAAAUCUAGGUAAUUAAAAGGGCAUAGAUGUAUGAAAUGAAAUGAGGGUGGCAAAACCUUUACUAGAGUUCAAUCACUACUUGUCAUAAGAGAGUUUAUACUGAAAGGAAAUCAUAUAAAUGUAUGUGUCAGAGGCUUUCCCCAGGCAUUGGAACUCACUAGGCAUCAGAAUAUACAUCUUUGAGAGGAACCACAGAAAUGUAAUGUGCAUGCUAAGGUUUUUACCCGAACAUCAAAAUGGAAAGAGUAUUCAUACUAGAGACAACCUUCCAAAUAAAUGGUUUUAAAAAAUGAAAUGUUCAAAGACCUGGAAUCAACCCAAAUGCUUAUCAGUGAUAGACUGAAUAAAGAAAAUGUGGUACAUAUACACCAUGGGAUACUAUGCAGCCAUAGAAAGGAAUGAGAUCAUGUCCAUUGCAGCGAUGUGGAUGGAGCUGGAAGCCAUUAUCCUCAGGAAACUAACACAGGAACAGAAAAUCAAACAGCACAUGUUCUCACUUAAAAGUGGAAGCUGAACAAUGAGAACACAUAUACCCAGGGAGGGGAGCAACACACACUGGGGCCUGCUGAUGGGGGUGGGAAGGGCAGGGAAGUGGAGCAUCAGGACAAAUAGCUAAUGCAUUUUUGCCUUAAUACCAGGUGAUGGGUUGGUAGAUGCAGCAAACCACCAUGGCACACAUUUUCCUAUGUAACAAAUUUGCAAAUUGUGCACAUGUACCCAGAACUUAAAGUGAGACAAAACCAAUGUCCACGCCUUUGCAGUUUGAUUGAACGUAUAAAGGAGAAAAAUCCUGUAAGUAUGCUGAACAUGAAAGGACCUGGAAGCAGUAGUGUGUCUUCAGCCUUUACCAAAUUAUCCCUACUUGAGAGAAAACUUGGAAAUGUAAUCAAUGUGGCACAAAUUUCAACCAGUUUUUUAAACAGACUACACAUCUUUGAAAUCAUACUAGGGAUAACCAAAUCUGCUUCUCCAAGAUUGGCCUGGAAUAUUAUUACAGAAUAACUACCAGACAACAUUUGUUAAAACUCAGGACAGUAUGUAUUUUAAAGGAGCAAGUGCAUGUGUGAAAAUGGCUCAUUCAGUUUAUAAAAUAUUACAUUAAAUUUGAGGUUUCUGUUUUUUUUCUUUUGUGACAGUCUUGCUCUGUUCCCCAUGCUGUAGUGCAGUGGCACCAGUUCACCUCACUGUAACUUCCACAUCCUGGUUUCAAGCAAUUUGUGCCUCAGCCUCCCAAGUAGCUGGGAUUACAGUCAUGCCACCAUGUCCAGAUAAUUUUUAUAUUUUUUUGUAGAGAUGGUGUUUUACCAUGUUUGCCAGGCUGAUCUCAAGCUCCUGGCCUCAAGUGAUUUGCCACCUUGGCCUCACACGUUGCUGAGAUUACAGGCAUGAGCCACCACACCUGGCCAAUGGGGCGUUUCUUAAAAUAGCUACUAGACUAUGACGUUUAUCCUAAGGUUUGAAGUCUAUCAUCUUCCUUACAUAUCCUUCAUUGUGGUAUCUGGGAAUGAAUCAACAAGAUGAGAGAGCCUCCUUCAUUCAGUGUGGCUCCUUCAUUUCCAUGCUUCCUGAAGAUUAAGGUCACUGAAUUUUAAAAUUCAAUAUUCUGUGAGUUACACACCAUGGAGUAACUGGGAGAAUAAUGUAAGUUUAUGAUGUAAGUUGUGCUUGUGUUCCAGGUGUCCAUGAACACGUAGAGUGCCACUUUGGGUUGUAGAAAAUAAUUGCACAACCAACUGACUGAAAUACCAGUGAGGACAUUGAUGGAAUAUUAAGGGUAUUCAUGAGAGGCAAGUGAUAGGUUACUAGGGAUGGAUUGUGUGGGAGAAAUAAUGCAGAGGAAAUGAUGAUCAUCUCCAUUGAAUGACAGCUGUUAUAUAGCAAAGAUAAAUGUAAAAUUAGUCUUAUUCUUGGAAGUGGAAGACAGCAGUUAUCAGAGAGGAGAAUUUAAUCAAAAGAAUCAGAAUAGCAUGGUCACAGGCCAGAUUCACAUUGAAGUAUUUACUCUAUAUUUUACUGCUGUUACAUUCAAAAUGUAUCAGAAGUCUCAUGGUUCAAUUAAUAAAAUGUUAUUCGUUUUCGUAACUCAGUGACGUUCCUUUCACCAACACAGAUUUAUCCCACCUUAGUAAAGAACUUCUAACAGACACUGCAUUACACUCUGCUGGUUAAAAUAAUGUGCGACAAUUGUUUUCUAUGGCGAAAUCAAACAACAUAGAUUUUUGCCCAUACCAUAGUCCCCCUUUAACCCACAAGAUGCCUUCCAAGUGUCCUCUAGUGGAUACCUGAAAGUGGAUAGUACCCAACCAUAAAUAUAUAGUUUCAGUCAAGUUUUGAGGUGUGACAGCAAAGCUAGUACUGAUUAUUUUUAUUCACACUUGUACAGAAGAUUUAUGAUAAAUCUUAGCAUCUUCAUCUGUAUUUUUUUCUUAUUAAAUCAAUAACCUUUCACUUUUUAACUUAAAGGAGGCGCUUUACAGCUUUCUUGCUUUCUCUUUUUUUUUUUUUUUUUUUUUUUUUUUUGUUAGGGGGUUUUGCUAUGUCACCCAGGCUGAGUGCAGUGGUUAUUCACAGGUAAGAUCUUAGCACACUGCAGCGUCAAAAAGUGGUCCUCCCACCUCAGCCUCCAGACUACCUGAGACUACAGGUACAUGCUAUUGUGUCUAGCUUACAGCUUCUCUGAGAUAUCCAAGUUGCAAGCCUCACUACUUUUGUGCUUUGGGGCCAUAAUUAAGUAAAAUAGGAGAUACUUGAACACAAACACGAUGAUACUCUAACAACGCUAACUGAGAUGACUACUAAGUGACUGAGAGAGGGGUAGGUUAUUCUGUGUGGCUACACCGUAUAAAGGGAUGAUUUAUGUCCUGGGUGGAACAAUGUGAAAUUUCAUCACAUUAGUGAGAACAGUGUACAGUUUAAAAUUUCCGAGUUAUUUAUUUUGGGAAUAUUCCAUUUAAUGUUUUUGGGCCACAGUUGCCACUGGUAAUUGAAAUCAUGGAAAGCAAAACAGCAGCUAAUGUGGGAUGACUGUACCAAUGUCUUGGGGGGAGGGAGCCAGCUGAUUGUGAGAUGUAAGUUUGUGAUUCUGAGAUAGCAGCUUUGCAAAAAACUGCAAUUUGUCAAUUCACCAAUAUUGAUAAUGUGCAAGCUUGGUGAGCUGAGAAUAUUCCUGAAAACCUUUGUUCCCACUGCGAAUUCCUGGGGACAGUUAUGAGUUCCUAAUGACGUCACCACAAAGACAUUUUGGAGUGUUUGGUAAAGGCUGUUUCUUUUCAGUGAUUGCUGGAAGCAGAUGGGAUCAAAUAAAAAUAGAACAUUGUGGGCUCCCAAGGCUGAGGUGGAGCUGGAGGAUGCCGGCCAGACUGCGGAGCAGCAGUCUUCCUUGUGCACAUGCCUGAAGUCCGCGUGGGUGUUUGAGGAAGUGGGGAUACAGCAUUUAAUGAAAAAUUUAUGCUUAAGAAGUAGAAAAUGGCAGUCUUCCUAGAUAAUUUUCAAUGGCCAGAAUGUGAAUGUAUUGACGAGUGAGAGAAGAAAUGUUGUGGCGUCUGUUGUGACAGGUAUAUUGUUUUUUACAGGCUGGUGGAUAAUGACGCAGCAGUGGUGUAUUGUAGGCCAGAACAGUUGAACCAUGCCUUUCACACAUGUGGUGUAUUUCCCACAUUGGCUUUCUUCAUGAUAAAUGCUGUAUCCAAUGCUCAGGUGAGAGGUGAUAGCUAUGAAAGUGGCUGUUUAGGAAGAACAGGUCCUUGAGUUUGGCUUUUCGUUGGUUUCAUGUUGAUGUUUGGGGUACUUAUUGCUUCCAUGUGGAUUCUUUUUGGUGCAUAUGUUACCCAACCACUCUGAUCUACAAAUUUGGAAGAACUGAAGAGCUGUGGACCUGAGAUCACUCCUUAAAUCACAUUUUCUUUGUGUUAUAUUCUGUUUGUAGAUAAGUUUUUAUCUUAGUACACGUUGCCAAAUGGAGUAGCUUGUACAUGAAAUGUUUUCUUUACAUUUUUAUGUUGUGUUAUUUUGUCUUUUUUGUUGUUGUUGUUGCUGUUGUUUUUGAGACAGAGUUUUGUUCUUGUUGCCCAGACUGGAGUGCAAUGGCGCGAUCUCGGCUCACCACAACCUCUGCCUCCUGGGUUCAAGCGAUUCUUCUGCCUCAGCCUCCCAAGUGGCUGGGAUUACAGGCAUGCACCACCACACCCAGCUAAUUUUGUAUUUUUAGUAGAGAUGGGGUUUCUCCCUGUUGGUCAGGCUGGUCUCAAACUCCCAACCUCAGAUGAUCUGCUCGCCUCGACCUCCCAAAGUGCUGGGAUUACAGGCAUGAGCUACCACACCCUGCCUAUGUUGUGUGUUUUUAAAGUUUUAUGAAAUUUCUGUUCUUCAUUUUUCAUUGCAUAGACUGUUAAUAUGUAUAUAGUACAAGACUAUAUGGCUUGGAUAAUGAGUAUCUUUUAUUCCUGAGAUUUAGAACUUGAUCUGUUCCCUAAGCCAGGGUUAUAUCAUCAUGUCAUUUUAGAAGUAACCACUCUCUCUCUGGCCGGGUGCAGUGGCUCACGCCUGUAAUCCCAGCACUUUGGGAGGCCGAGGUAGGUGGAUCACCUGAGGUCAAGUUUGAGACCAGCCUGACCAAUAUGGUGAGACCACAUCUUUACUAAAAAUACAAAAAUUAGCCGGGCAUGGUGUCAGGUGCCUGUAAUCCCAGCUACUUGGGAGGCUGAGGCAGGAGAAUCAUUUGAACGCUGUGGGUGGAGGUUGUAGUGAGCCGAUAUUGCGCCACUGCACUCUAACCUGGGAGACAGAGUGAAAUUCCAUCACCGCCCCCCUAAAAAAAGUAACCACUCUCUCUCAGUAUCUCUAAUUUCUGAAGAUGUGCAAAAAAUAUAAUUUUAUAUAGCUGGAAUGAGCACUGAGCCAUAAAAGGUAUUUCAGCAAGUUGUAAUUUAUUUUGGCCUAAAAAUGAGGUUUUUUUGUAAAGGAAAAAUGUUUGUUCUUAUGUAUUGAAGAAGUGUACGUUUAUAUAAUGAUUUUUUAAAUGCCCAAAGGACUAGUUUGAAAACCUCUUCCAAGAAUUCCUCUAAUAUGACCUUAUAUGAAAAGGGAUAAUACAUGAUCAAAUAAACUCAGUUUUUUUUAUGGUUACUGUAAAAAGACUGUGUAAGGCAGCUUAGCACCAGGCUUCUCAUAAAAGCAGCUUAAAUUAUCCACUGGGGUUAUCUUUUGACAACCUGCUAUUAUCUGGUGUUACACAAUUCAAUAGCAAGCAAGUUUCAGACAACUGCAGUUCAAAAGCAUGAACCAUAUAACAAAAAGUGGAAUAAUUAAAGAUAAGGCACUUCUUCCCAAAGGGAAUUAUCACCUAGUGAAAAAUUACGCAUUUCAUCUACUCAGUUACUGACUGCAAGCAAGUCUCUCUGCUCUAGCUCUCAAGCUUUGGGUGAAUGUCCCUGCGAAAUGUAUCUUCAAGUUGAAAGUUCACACUCCAGUCAAAAACUCCUUUUACUGAGUUUGCAGUACUGUAUUUGCAUGUGUGUAUUUCUCUGGACCUUUAUUGCUACUUUUGCUUUCCUUUGUUACACAGACUUUGUGUUGCACUUUCUUCUCCAGAGGGGUGAUAUAGAGCCCUGGUUAUAUGAAUAAUACCAGUGAUAGUGUCCACAGCUCAAAUGCAAGCCCAUUUGUCAUCACUCCUUUCAUCUCUCUGAGAGGAUUUAUUGUGUGCAGAGUAUGAAGCAGUUGUGGAGCUCUGUGCCUUUGUCAAGAUACCAUCUUGUUUGAUGACUUCUUUCUUUGUUGUUUUUCCUUGAAAAUGUCAGUAAGCUCUGUUAUGCUUCUAGCAAAUUGUGAGACUGUUUGUUUCCACCCUCAUAACCUGUUGCAAUAAAUAUUAUUUCUCACAUAUUUUAAUAUUAUUAAGUUUGUUGGAGAAAACAAACCAUAAAAAUUCAUUUGCUGUUCAGUUUUCAAUUACAAUAAAGAAAUAGAACAUUGUUAAUUUCUGAGACUUGAUGGACAGUAAUAUGGAAAAUCUUUUCGUUUGCCUAUUUGUGCAUCUGCAUCGGUGAAAUUUCUCAUAUUUUUAACCUAUUUUCUAAUUCAAUUUUUUUUCUAUGAUAUACUUUACUUUGUAGAGCAAUUUUUGGUUCCCAGCAAAAUUCAGUGGAAGGUACAGAGAUUUCUCAUAUAGCUCCUUCCCCCACAUAUGCAUAGCCUUCCCCAUUGUCAACAUCCUCCACCAAAGUGGUAGAUUAUCAUCCAACAUCCCUAGUUUAUAGUUGGCUCACACUUGUACAUUGUGUGGGUUUGGACAACUGUAAAAUGGCACAUAUUCACAUAUUAUGGUAACAUACAGAGUACUUUGACUACCCUAAUAAUCCUCUUUGCUCAGUCUAAAUUUGUGUAUUUCUUUCACUUCUGUCACUUAUUGCUUCACGUUUUGCAGCUGUUUUUUAGUGCAUACACACUGAUGGUUCUGAAAUCAUCUUUGUAAGUUGACAUUUUUAUCAUGUAAUCUCCCUGUUUUUCCCUGUUAUUUUUAUUUUCUCUGAAGAUUACUUCUUUUGUUCCAGUCAAUUUUGCAAGUUUAUUUGCCAAAGUUAAGGAUGCUUGCCUGUGACACAGCCUCAAGAGGUCCUGGCCACAUAUACCCAAGGUGGUUGGGGCGCAGCUUGGUUUUAUACACUUUUAGGAGAUAUCAGUUAAUGUGUAAGAUGCACAUUGGUUUGGUUUGGAAAG
rnacentral:lncRNA from 1 species